rnacentral:lncRNA from 1 species
CCAAAAAUCCCUAAAAUACCCCAAAAAUCCCUAAAUAACCCCAAAAAAUCCCAAAAAAUCCCUAAAAAACCCAAAAAUCCCAAAAAAUCCCUAAAAAACCCAAAAAUUCCUAAAAAUGCCCCAAAAUCCCAAAAAUACCCAAAAACCCCAAAAAUCCCUAAAAAACCACAAAAACCCCAAAAAUCCCUAAAUAACCCCAAAAACCCCAAAAAUCUCUAAAACACCCCAAAACAUCCCUAAAAAACCCCCAAAAUCCCUAAAAAACCCCAAAAAUCCCCAAAAUCCCUAAAAAACCCCAAAAAUCCCUAAAAAACCCCAAAAAUCCCUAAAAAACCUCAAAAACCACAAAAAUCUCUAAAAAACCCGAAAAAAUCCCUAAAAACCUCCCAAAAAUCCCCGAAAAUCCCAAAAAAACCCCAAAAACCCUAAAAAACCCGAAAAAAACCCAAUUUUGGGCUUUUUGCUUUUUUGGGAUUUUGGUUUUUUUUGGGGUUUUUGGGUUUUUUUUGAGGUUUUUUGGAAUUUUUUUUUAUUUUUGUGGUUUUUUGUGGGUUUGGGGGGAUUUUUUGGGGUUUUUUGGGGUUUUUUAGAGUUUGGGGUUUUUUGGGGCUUUUUGGGUUUUGGGAUUUUGGGGUUUUUUUGGGGGGGUUGGGAUUUUUUGGGUUUUUUUGGGUGGUUUUGGGGUUUUUUGGGAUUUUUUUUAUUUUGGGGGGGUUUGGGGGGAUUUUUUUGGGUUUUUUGGUGGAUUUUAAGGGGGUUUGGGGAGUUUUGGGAUUUUUUUUAAUUUUUGGGGAUUUUAAGGGGUUUUUUGGGGAUUUUUGGUUUUUUUUGAUUUUUGGGGUUUUUUGGGGGUUUGAGGGGAUUUUUUGGGGUUUUUUUUUGAUUUUUUGGGUUUUUUGGGGUUUUUUGAGAUUUUUUAGAGUUUGGGGUUUUUGUGGCUUUUUGGUUUUGGGGAUUUUGGGGUUUUUUUGGGUUUUAUUUGGGUUUUUAAUUGAGUUUUUAAUUGAGUUUUUAUUGGGGUUUUUUGGGAUUUUUUUUAUUUUUGGGGGUUUUUUUUGAGGAAUUUUUUGGGUUUUUUGGGUUUUAUUUGGGGUCUUUUUGGGGGUUUAUUGGGGAUUUUAUUGGGGUUUUUGGGGGGUUUUCUUUUGAGAUAUUUUGGUUAUUUUUUACUUUUUAAUCGAGUUUUUAAUUGAGCUUUUAUUGGGGUUUUUGGGGAUUUUUUUUUGAGGAAUUUUUGGGGUUUUUUGGGUUUUAUUUGGGGUUUUUUUGGGGGUUUAUUGGGGUUUUUAUUGGGGUUUUGGGGGUUUUUGGGGGGUUUUCUUUUGAGAUAUUUUUUGGUUAUUUUUUACU